AUGACCGAAUCUGCCCACGCGGAAGGUGCGGUGCUGGGUGACUCGGUCCAGCCCAGGGAACCCCAGAUGUCUGGAGUUGAAGGCGGCUCCGUGACCCUCAGCUGUUCUUAUGAGUCUAGUUACACUGCUGGUGUCUAUCUCUACUGGUACCUUCAGUCCCCGAACCGAGCCCCGCAGUACAUCCUCCGGAGAGGAACGAAGGGAGCCAGAUCUGGCAGUGAUACCGCAGACUUCGCCCAGGAGAGGUUUUCUUCCCAGGCUGAUGGCAACUCCACAGCUCUGAGCAUCGCCGCCCUGGAGCUGGCAGACACAGCGGUGUAUUACUGCGCCCUGCAGCGGGCACAGUGA